AAAAAGGCAAACCAUAAAUUUUCGUGUCCAACAUUGACUGUCCGUUUUAUAUAAACAAAUUUUAUAAUUCGUAUUUUCAUUGUUGUUAGAUGAUAAAACAUGAUUAAUAUUUUAUGCGUGACUUGUCUUUUUAAUUUUUUUCAUAAUUUUUUCAAAUAAAACGGAUGGUCAAACGUUGGACACGGAAAACAGGGUUUGUCUUUUU
rfam:Oryza sativa (indica cultivar-group) chromosome 3, whole genome shotgun sequence.